AAAAGGAGAAAUUUCACCUGCAACAGCUGUGGAGGAAUAAACUAUCGGGGAAAGAGAAAACCCAAAAAAGAAAUCAAAAUGAUAAUGGCUGACAAACUAAAGUCUGAGAUGAGAAAUAAAGGAAAACAUAACAUUAUGGGAAGAGAGCCACUAAGCCCGGUAAAGUGACCAGCUUCACCAUUAUUGCUUCACAACAAAGGAAUAAGAACUGGGAAUUCUAAGAAUGAAUCCGUCUGGCUAUGAAAGGGUUAGAAGGGUACAAGAGGUGAAGCAAUGAAGGUGAAAUCUGCAUGGUAACAGGAGGAAAGUAGCACCACUGCAGGUUGAUCAAACUAUCAAACACAGCAUCAAUGGACUGCAUGCACAAAUGCAAGGCCUUCCACUGAAGCUAGUUCAUGGGUUUAGACAGAAUGAAUUCUGUGUUGACUAAAGUGCCAAAACACCAGUACACCUGGAUGUAGACCAUCACACCCAACUCAGUGAGCAUGAAAUUGGCUUGGCACAAACAAGCCUACACAUAGCCUUGGAGCCUGGAGUGCCAGAACUUGUGGAGAGCAAGAGAAAUUAGAGCAGUCAAGAAGACAGACAACAAAGACUUAAAUAAAACAUUGAAUUAAGAUAGUUUUUAAAACAGUUGUGCUGAGAAGAGUGUUUAGUAAUAACAACAGAGCACUGAAACCAAGAGCCACACAUACCUUCAUUCCUGCUGAUUUCAAUGUCAGCAAAGAGUCCAAUUUUGAUGACUUGCCAUAAAAGACCCAAAA